UUUAGGUUUGCCAUAAUCGCGAUGCUAUACGGCCCAAUUACUUCAAUUAAUCCAAUAUAAUCUCUUUUGCAGGUAUGGACAAAUUUCUCCGCUUAAUUAAGACGUGCGUGAAACCGGAAACUGAGGAAAAGCCUCGUAAACGCCUGCGCCCCUACACCACGGAUUUCACUGUCAACCCAGAGAAUUGUUUUGCUGUCAGCCUCUUCAAAACGCUUCUCGGCACUUCCUGUGCCCCUGACACGAAUGUGUCUAUCUGUCCCUGCGCAACGCGAAUCCUCCUGGCCGCGAUGGUGCCAGACACAGACAGCGACGCACCACUGCUGAGACCAAUACUGAUCUCCAAUGUUUGGCCGCCCGACGACACAUGGAGAUCUGUGGCAGCAGUGCGCAGCGUUACAAACCACACAGCGGUGACACUAUCAACCGUCGCGUUUAUCGACGACAACGCCAGCCACCCCGCGACGUGUCCCCUGGAUACGACGGGCGUCCCGUUUCAAUACGUCCGAGUGCCGUUUGCCGCCGACCCGGAGAAAGCCCUGCGAAUCGUCAGUCAGUUUGCGGGCAGCGCCGAACCGAUACUCCGCGAGACGACGCCGCGCUCGCUUAUCGUCGUCAACUUCUGUCGUUUCAACGGCGUCUGGGAGGACCCCUUUAUUUGCUACAACACCAGACCCAAAACGUUUUAUUGUCCGGACGGUCAGGAAAAGACGGUGGAUAUGAUGGAUUAUAAGUACGCUUUUUUGCGUGUGUAUUGUACAACUUGCAUCAGCAUUAUUAUGACGUUAUCGAGGACGGCGAUCCACACAUGAUCAUCCUCAACAUCGAUCGUCGCCAGUUCAGCGUGAUGAUCCUGCUGCCGAUGGCUAAUUCCGGUGGGACACCGGCGUUGGAGGGCAGUCUGACGGUGGAGAAGCUGCUGGCGUGGCGCGAUAAAAGCAAAGACAGUAUUAUGCGUAUCGUGCUUCCCAAAUUCCGGAUCAGCUGCACCGUUAAUUUGCAGCCGUGUUUGACGGCGAGGGGACUGGGUGGGGUGUUUGCGCCUUUACCAGUUGCUGGUGUGGUUGUCGAACGUGCAACUCUGAAAGAGGAGACGGUCGAAGAAGAGAAAGUCUUAUCGUUGCACCCUGAUGAAAUACUGCAACAUGUUCUGUUAGAUAUGGACGAAUACGGCAUGUCCACUCCGCCGUUCGAGUGGCCCAAUUUAGAGUACAGUAUGGUGGACAGUGAUCCGGAUUUUGUGGCCAAUCGGCCCUUCCUGGUGAUUAUCUGGGACGAGGUGGCCAAUGUGCCGCUGUUCUUGGGGCGGGUAACGGAUCCCACCGUGUCGUCUUGCUUCGUCGCGUUUUAGAUUGAAUCAUUUGAAUGCUGUGUAGAAUUAUGACAUUUGCGCGCGUAGAAUUAUGCUAUGCGGAAGGCUGGAAGCAGCGCUGACUGAAAAUUCCGGUGAUU